GACGAACGCUGGCGGCGCGCCUAACACAUGCAAGUCGAGCGAGAACCAGAGCUUCGGUUCUGGGGAAAGCGGCGAACGGGUGAGUAACACGUGGGUAAUCUGCCCUCGGCGCCGGGAUAGCCCGGGGAAACCCGGAUUAAUACCGGAUGGCUUCUCGCGCUCUCGGGCGCGAAAGAAAAGGUGGCUUCGGCUUCUGGCCGAGGAUGAGCCCGCGGCCGAUUAGCUUGUUGGUGAGGUAAUGGCCACCAAGGCUCCGAUCGGUAGCUGGUCUGAGAGGACGAUCAGCCACACUGGGACUGAGACACGGCCCAGACUCCUACGGGAGGCAGCAGUGGGGAAUCUUGCGCAAUGGGCGAAAG
rnacentral:rRNA from 1 species